GGAGAGCUGGCAGAGCGGUCGAAUGCGGCGGUCUUGAAAACCGUUGACCCGAAAGGGUCCGGGGGUUCGAAUCCCUCGCUCUCCGCCA
rnacentral:tRNA from 1 species